rnacentral:pre_miRNA from 1 species
CUUGUACUCCCUCUGUCUGAAAAUACUUGUCAUUGAAAUGGAUGUAUCUAGAUGUAUUUUAGUUCUAGACACAUCCAUUUUGAUGACAAGUAAUUCCGGACGGAGGGAGUACUUG